UAAAGUUAGGUCUGUGGAUGAAAGUCGAUGCCAGUCGCAGGCGAAACGAUCCACGUAAGUUAGGCAAAAGUUCUAAUGAGCAUGGUGCGGUGUAGAAGUAAGUCCUACCAAGUAAAUUGAGAGGGUUAGUAGUGAGGAGUUAAGUCUUAGUAGCAAAAGCUCCAGUAGGCGAGUGUGGGGUCAAAGUCCAGGUCAGAUAACUUUG
rnacentral:ncRNA from 12 species